GGAAUUUUGAUUGCGAUUUUGCUUAAAAUUAGAGAUUACUUUGGGGAGAAUAGUGGUCUUUGCAAUUUUGAAUCUUCCUACCCAAGAACAUGAAAAACAGGAUGAAGUUGUCUAUUACGAUCCAUGUGAAAGUCCAGAGGAACUUAGUCAUUGACUGUGGUGGGGCUGCAGGACGAUAAGAAUUUGGAAGUGAAAGAACUCAGAAGGCAGUGCCAGCAGCUGGAGUCUAUUAAACGGGGCAGGAUCUGUGUCAAAAGAGCUUCUCUCCAGAGUAGAAAGGAUCAGUGCAAAGAAAAUCAUUGGCUCAGAUUGCAACAGGCUGAAGAAAGCAUAAGAUAUUCUCGUCAGCAUCACAGUAUUCAGAUGGUGAGUGUCCUCCGAAGGAAAAUGUUCUAUGUUUGUGUAGCGUGACAUGCAGGCCUAGACUUGUGGAAACUGGAGUUGCGCUGCCCUGGACCUGCAGCUGUCAGCCAAUUCGCCUCCAGGCCUGCAGUCUGGGCGCAGUCUUGGGGUGGUAAUGUUGGGGUACAGCCUCUUUCUUUGUCAAGACAUUUUUAUUGUAUGCCACGACAUUUUUGUAAUGUUGAGCAAUUUACAAAUAUACAUCUGCUUAAAUAUAGAAAAGAGACAAGAUAAAAAGGAGCAAAAGAAAAAAGAAUGGAUCAACCAAGAAAGUCAAACACUCCAACGAUUGAGAGCAUUUAAAGAUGUAAGUUCUGUAAACAAUCACCUCAUCUACACUUCUGGGGAAUUAUGAAGACCGCUCUAAAGAGGAAAGUAUUAAGAACAGGUCAUUCAGAACGUGAAACAUUUAAAAAGUAACAUUAUUUCUGGUAUAUCAAUAAAAAGCAACAACAAAAAUAGAAUAUCAGUGAUUCAAAACCCAUGAUAUAAAAUAACUGCUGUUUUUGACAUCACAACACGCUUGGGUUCCUGCUCUGCACUCUUCACUGAGUAGUCCUUACUGGCACUGGUGGUUUAGAUUGGCAGGGAAAACUGAAAACUGUUCAACUCCCUUGACUUUAGCUGGCAUUUCCUCUCAUUUGUAAUAAACAAUUCUUUAAAAUGUUAUCCAGGCAGCAUUGUGAUAUAAGUGUAGUGAAAGUGCCCAGUUAAAAGUAAAAUGUGUUGUUUUUUUUUUUUUUUUGAUAUCUACAACUUUCUUUUUUCUUUUUUUUUAAAGUAUAUACUUAAGAGGAUGAUGUUAUUUUUU
rnacentral:lncRNA from 1 species